UACAGAGGGGGCAAGCGUUAUUCGGAAUUAUUGGGCGUAAAGAGCUUGUAGGCGGUCUGUCGCGUCUGCUGUGAAAAUCCGGGGCUCAACCCCGGACUUGCAGUGGGUACGGGCAGACUAGAGUGUGGUAGGGGAGACUGGAAUUCCUGGUGUAGCGGUGAAAUGCGUAGAUAUCGGAAGGAACACCAGUGGCGAAGGCGGCUACCUGGACUGACACUGACGCUGAGGCGCGAGAGCGUGGGGAGCAAACAGG
rnacentral:rRNA from 1 species